GUCCUUAUGGAUUACGUUCGGAUAUUAAGCGCAUGAUUUCCAGCCUACCCACGAUGGGGAAGACCUUGGCGGAAUCUCCGGUACCAAUAGCUUGUACCAAUCUGUCCUCCUUCAAGUCCAAAGCUGGAUCUUAUAUAGUCCAAUGGUCCAUACACAUGUCUAUAGCUGUAGGCCGGUUGUAUAAUCAUCUGGUUAUCGAGUACUAUUUACAUGAGGUUAAUUGUC
rnacentral:lncRNA from 1 species